UGGGGAAUAUUGGACAAUGGGCGAAAGCCUGAUCCAGCCAUGCCGCGUGUGUGAAGAAGGUCUUCGGAUUGUAAAGCACUUUAAGUUGGGAGGAAGGGCUGCAAGCUAAUACCUUGUAGUUUUGACGUUACCAACAGAAUAAGCACCGGCUAACUUCGUGCCAGCAGCCGCGGUAAUACGAAGGGUGCAAGCGUUAAUCGGAAUUACUGGGCGUAAAGCGCGCGUAGGUGGUUUGGUAAGAUGGAUGUGAAAUCCCCGGGCUCAACCUGGGAACUGCAUCCAUAACUGCCUGACUAGAGUACGGUAGAGGGUGGUGGAAUUUCCUGUGUAGCGGUGAAAUGCGUAGAUAUAGGAAGGAACACCAGUGGCGAAGGCGACCACCUGGACUGAUACUGACACUGAGGUGCGAAAGCGUGGGGAGCAAACA
rnacentral:rRNA from 1 species